ensembl:lncRNA
AGGUUUGCUAGGCAGUUCUGAGUGGUUGCUAGGUGUUUUGAGGAGUUUCAGGCAGUUAUUGGGUGUUCUGAGUCAUUGCUAGUCACUUGCUCAGUGUUUUGAGAGGUUGCUAGGCAGCUAUUGGGUGUUCUGAGUGGUUGCUAGGCAGUUAUUAGUUGUUCUGAGAGGCAUCGGAGUGGUUGCUAGGCAGUUCUGAGAGAUUGUCAAGCAGUUAUUAGGUGUUUGCGUGGUUGCUAUAUGUGUUUUAGAUGUGGUUAGGUAGUUAUUGGGUGUUCUGAGUGGUUGCUAUGCAGUUGCUGGGUGUUUUUUAGUGGUUGUUAGGCAGCUGUUACAGUAGGUGUUUGAGUGGUUUCUAGGUAGCUGCUAUGUAUUUUGAAACGUUUCUAAGUAGUUGCUAGGUGUUUUGAGACAUUGCUGGGCAGUUGCUAAGGUGUUCUAAAAGUUGUUAGGCAGUUAUUAGGUGUUUGAGUGGUUGCUAUGCAGUUGCUAGGUGUUUUAAAAUGUUGUUAGGUUGAUAUUAGGUGUCCUGAGUGGUUGCUAGGCAUUUGCUAGAUGUUUUGAGAGGUUGUUAGGUGGUUAUUAGGUUUUCUGAGUGGUUGCUAGGCAAUUGCGAUUUGUUUUGAGAGGUUGUCAGGCAGUUAUUUGGUGUUCUUAGUGAUUGCUAAGUACAAUUAUACUUAAUAAGACCAUUUUGUCUAUGGUUUUACAGCCUUUUUUUCGUAGUUAUCACUCAACAAAAUUGCAGUGUUUAACUAAAAUAUUUUUUUUAU